UAUAAAAUUCAGCUCCGAGCCAAACAGCCUGAAUGCUUAUAGCAAUGGUUGCCGGCCGUUAGGGUAUGUUGGGAAACUGACCUGCCUUCCAUUGUGAAAAGGAGAUUGGAUCUGGUUUUU
rnacentral:ncRNA from 2 species